CUAUGAUUUUUAAAAAGUCAUGGCGGAAGGAG
rnacentral:ncRNA from 1 species